CAGCCGCCGCGGUAAUACGGAGGAUCCAAGCGUUAUCCGGAAUCAUUGGGUUUAAAGGGUCCGUAGGCGGUCUUGUAAGUCAGUGGUGAAAGCCCAUCGCUCAACGGUGGAACGGCCAUUGAUACUGCAGGACUUGAAUUAUUGGGAAGUAACUAGAAUAUGUAGUGUAGCGGUGAAAUGCUUAGAGAUUACAUGGAAUACCAAUUGCGAAGGCAGGUUACUACCAAUUGAUUGACGCUGAUGGACGAAAGCGUGGGUAGCGAACAGGAUUAGAUACCCCAGUAGUCCCUGUAUCUUAUAC
rnacentral:rRNA from 1 species